CAACGUGAAGAUUGAAAAAACUUUAUAAUCCUUAUCAACUGGAUGCAAACCUACACCUAAUUAAGUACAACAGUGAGUUUUCAGUCCAGGACCUCUUUAUUACUGCAAAGAAAUAGAAAUUGGUGUUUAGAAAAAAGUUUGUAAAAAAUGCAAAGUGUCGCUGAUGGACCCAAGGACUGUUAAAUACUAGUCAAAUUUGG